CCUACGGGAGACAGCAGUAGGGAAUAUUGCUCAAUGGGGGAAACCCUGAAGCAGCAACGCCGCGUGGAGGAUGAAGGUUUUCGGAUUGUAAACUCCUUUUGUUAGAGAAGAUAAUGACGGUAUCUAACGAAUAAGCACCUGCUAACUCCGUGCCAGCAGCCGCGGUAAUACGGAGGGUGCAAGCGUUACUCGGAAUCACUGGGCGUAAAGAGCGCGUAGGCGGGAUAGCAAGUCAGAUGUGAAAUCCUAUGGUUUAACCAUAGAACUGCAUUUGAAACUGUUAAUCUAGAGUAUGGGAGAGGAAGGUGGAAGUCUUGGUGUAGGAGUAAAAUCCGUAGAGAUCAAGAGGAAUACUCGUUGCGAAGGCGACCAGCUAGAACAUAACUGACGCUGAUGCGCGAAAGCGUGGGGAGCAAACAGGAUUAGAUACCCGAGUAGUC
rnacentral:rRNA from 1 species